UACAGAGGGGGCAAGCGUUAUUCGGAAUUAUUGGGCGUAAAGCGCGCGUAGGCGGUUACUCAAGUCGGAUGUGAAAGCCCUCGGCUUAACUGAGGAAGUGCACCCGAAACUGAGUAGCUAGAGUACCAAAGAGGGUCGCGGAAUUCCCGGUGUAGAGGUGAAAUUCGUAGAUAUCGGGAGGAACACCGGUGGCGAAGGCGGCGACCUGGGUGGAUACUGACGCUGAGGCGCGAAAGCGUGGGGAGCAAACAGG
rnacentral:rRNA from 1 species